GCGUUCGUAGCUCAGCUGGAUAGAGCGUCGGACUUCGAAUCCGCAGGUCGAAGGUUCGAAUCCUUCCGAGCGCA
rnacentral:tRNA from 1 species